rnacentral:rRNA from 1 species
GAGGCGAACCGGGGGAACUGAAACAUCUAAGUACCCCGAGGAAAAGAAAUCAACCGAGAUUCCGAAAGUAGCGGCGAGCGAAAUUGGACUAGCCCUUAAGCUUUACACGCGUUAGACGAACGGUCUGGAAAGUCCGACGAUACAGGGUGAUAGUCCCGUAGUUGACGACGUGUGUUCAGUGAAAUCGAGUAGGGCGGGACACGUGAUAUCCUGUCUGAAUAUGGGGGGACCAUCCUCCAAGGCUAAAUACUACUGACUGACCGAUAGUG